rnacentral:rRNA from 1 species
AGUGAACGCUGGCGGUAGGCCUAACACAUGCAAGUCGAACGGCAGCACAGUAAGAGCUUGCUCUUACGGGUGGCGAGUGGCGGACGGGUGAGGAAUACAUCGGAAUCUACUUUUUCGUAGGGGAUAACGUAGGGAAACUUACGCUAAUACCGCAUACGACCUACGGGUGAAAGCAGGGGAUCUUCGGACCUUGCGCGAUUGAAUGAGCCGAUGUCGGAUUAGCUAGUUGGCGGGGUAAAGGCCCACCAGGGCGACGAUCCGUAGCUGGUCUGAGAGGAUGAUCAGCCACACUGGAACUGAGACACGGUCCAGACUCCUACGGGAGGCAGCAGUGGGGAAUAUUGGACAAUGGGCGCAAGCCUGAUCCAGCCAUACCGCGUGGGUGAAGAAGGCCUUCGGGUUGUAAAGCCCUUUUGUUGGGAAAGAAAAGCAGCAGGUUAAUACCCCGCUGUUCUGACGGUACCCAAAGAAUAAGCACCGGCUAACUUCGUG